rnacentral:rRNA from 1 species
GACGAACGCUGGCGGCGUGCUUAACACAUGCAAGUCGAACGGAAAGGCCUGCUUUCCCUUGUGGAUUGCGGGUACUCGAGUGGCGAACGGGUGAGUAACACGUGAGUGAUCUGCCCCCAACUUGGGUAUAAGCCUGGGAAACUGGGUCUAAUUCCCGAUAGGACUGCAGGGUGGUGCCUGUGGUGGAAAACGAUUUUCUAGUGGUUGGGGAUGAGCUCGCGGCCUAUCAGCUUGUUGGUGGGGUAAUGGCCUACCAAGGCGGCGACGGGUAGCCGGCCUGAGAGGGUGGACGGCCACAUUGGGACUGAGAUACGGCCCAGACUCCUACGGGAGGCAGCAGUGGAGAAUAUUGCACAAUGGGCGGAAGCCUGAUGCAGCGACGCCGCGUGGGGGAUGACGGCCUUCGGGUUGUAAACUCCUUUCGGCCGCGAGGAAGCCACCUGGUUGGAAGGGUGGUGACGGUAGUGGUAGAAGAAGCACCGGCUAACUACGUG